CAGACCCGAGGCCUUUUCUGCUCUUUGUUCUUGCAUGCUGAUGAGGAAGCUGAGAGUGCAUGAGACGUUGGGAGGAGACACAGCUGGGACAGGUGACCCAAACUGACCAAAGGGAUUUCCAGACCACGUGACAUCAUGCUCACAUUUCACAGAGUCACAUUAUCUCAACUCCUGGAAAAACAUAGCAAGAGCUAGGCCUGGGGCUGAAUGGCUAUAAAUGGCUAGAAUUGCCCAUCCUUGCCUACAAGGAAUUUCCUGUGAAUUCAAAGCUGGUCAGUGGUACCUUCUGGAAGACAGAUGCCACAGAUGUGUAUCUUCCUUAUCUCCCUGCACACAGUUCAGCAUAAGCAUCUACAGCCUGGAGAGCAGCA